ensembl:lncRNA
AGCACAUUGUGCAUACACAUGAAACUACUGCCACAUCCCAAGUGUCCUGCCUCAAGUAACUGAUGAACUGGUCCCAAGGACAUUAGAAGUGACUCUGCUCCCAUUACCCCAUUUCUCCACAAGGCCCAGACACAUUCCCAAGGCUGCACAGCUGGGAAGCAGCAAAGCUCGGAUUUGACCCCAAGUAAUGGAUUCUCCAGAUGGAAGAACCAGGGGCCCUGCUGAUGGCCCUUAAAGCUCUUUCCAACCCUUCUCCAUUACAAAAACACCAUGCUGAGCAACCCCACAGGUGCCUGUGUUUGUAAGCAUGCACUGGUAGGUAUUGCUGUAUCAAAAGACGAUGUACGGUUCUAUUACUGUUAGGCGCUGCCAGAAGGGAAAGAGACUGCCCAUUUCCCCACAUCCAUGCCAGAACUGCAGGUUCUUGUUUUUGCCACUCUGGUGAGAGGCGCCUUCCUCAUGGCCCUAGGAAGGUAGCGAGGUUAUGUCCCAGCCCCAGGUGGGCAGCCUCCUUCCUGUAAGGGAUCAUCCAGGGAGCACCCUGUGCCAGCUCACCUCCGGGCAUCCUGUUGUCGUGGAAAUAUUUCAGGUCCUGCUUUCGUCCUGAAUAGCAACGUCAGUGGAAAGAGAAGGUCUCUGUUAUGGGCUAAAUUGUGCGUUCCCUCAAAAUUCGUAUGUUGAAGUCCCAACCCCCAAGACCUCAAAAUAUGACUGCAUUUAGAGAUGGGGUCUUUAAAGAGGUGGUUACGUUAAAAUGAGGUUGUUAGGGUGGGCCCUAAUCCAGUCUGCCUGGUGUCCUUAUAAGAACAGACCCCAGGAGCGCUCCUGCACAGGGGGAUGGUUGCGUGCAGAGGCAGCAAGACGGCUGCCACCUGCAGGCCAAAGAGAGAGGUAUGGACGGAAACCAAUCCUGACAGUCGGCAUCUCGAGCUUGGACUUCCAGCCUCCAGCACUGUGAGAAAAUAACUGUGAUGAUUAAGCCACCCAGUCUGUGGUCUUUGGCUAUGGCAGUGCUAGCAAACAAAUACAGACUCUUUCCCUGCACAGCUGGAAGAGUUCCUGAGAAGAUGCCCAUAUGCCUGGCUUGGGUCACUUCCCAUCUGUUACCAAUUGCUGUGGCCACCAGAUGCUGAGCUCUAACUGGCCAGGCCUUGGCCAAGUGCUCAUCCCUGGAGCUAGGGAUGGGCUUAGCCUGCCAACCUGGGUUCACUUCUCCUUGUUUGAUUAAAAAUUUUAAUUUAAAGCAAGUGAGGGCUGGAUGCAAUGGCUCACUUCUAUAAUUCCAACCCUUUGGGAGGCUGAGGUGGGAGGAUCACUUCAGCCCAGGAGUUCGAGACCAGCCCAGGCAACAUAGCAAAACCUCAUCUCUACAAAAAAUAUUUAAAAAUUAACCAGGUGUGGUGGCACGUACCUGUGGUCCCAGCCACUUGGAAAGCUGAGGUGGGAAGAUCACUCGAGCCUGGGAGAUCAAAGCUGCAGUGAGCUGUGAUUGCACCACUGCACUACAGCCUGGGCAACACAGCGAGACCCUGUCUUAAAAAAAAAAAAAAA